rnacentral:lncRNA from 1 species
CUCUCUCUCUCUGAUUGUAAAGCGGAAACUUGCCGGUCCUUAUAUUAUGUCGAGUAGAUUUAGAUUUAGAUUGGUAUCAUAUAUUUAAAUAUUGCUCCAAAAAUUUGCCAAGGAGCAACUCUUGCAUCUCAAAAUCCUCAUUGUAUGACAUGUUGGUUCCAAGUAGGAACCAUCCACUUAGCGCUAGACUUUGAUGCCAUCCAUUAUGUUGU